rnacentral:rRNA from 1 species
UACAGAGACUGCAAGCGUUAAUCGGAAUUACUGGGCGUAAAGCGUGCGCAGGCGGUUGUGCAAGACAGAUGUGAAAUCCCCGGGCUUAACCUGGGAACUGCAUUUGUGACUGCACGGCUAGAGUACGGCAGAGGGGGAUGGAAUUCCGCGUGUAGCAGUGAAAUGCGUAGAUAUGCGGAGGAACACCGAUGGCGAAGGCAGUCCCCUGGGCCUGUACUGACGCUCAUGCACGAAAGCGUGGGGAGCAAACAGG